AAUAUAAAAUAUAACCUUGUAAGCACGUUUUCCACUCUCCCUACACGGCAAACAUAGUACAAUACCAGUAUUGUUAGUAUUGUUACCGCUAUGGCUAAAUACUUAGGUAUGUCCAUGAACUAAGAUAUCUUAGUUUUAGUCACUAUACAACCUGAACCAUCAUAAAUACCGUGGCACUCAACGUGUUAAUUUUCAUGUUUCAAAAUGACUAAUGAAUAAUGAUACUUACCUAAUCUAAUCUUCCCGAUAAACUUAUAAACUAACUCAAUGCUAAUAUUCUAAAAUUUCUAACAAGGCAGCUGACGACUUCUUCAGGUAACUUAUGUUCAAGAUGUGCCAUUACUAUUAAAGUUAAUGUUUCCAUAAUGUUUUCACCACCAUUUAAUGUAUCCCCAUGGAUUUUGUCAAAUUCAGCCAUCAUUUUUUUGGCAGCUGUCAUCAAUAUUUGAGAUGAGGAACUUAUUUGACCGAGAUAUGGGUACUUUGUCAAAAAUCUUUUUGCCACAUACCCAGUUACAUAUUCUAACAUGUCCAAGUCAAUU